rnacentral:tRNA from 1 species
UGGGGUAUAGCCAAGAGGUAAGGCACCAGGUUUUGAUCCUGGCAUCCCAGGUUCAAAUCCUGGUGCCCCAGCAA